GAAGGAGGAGAAGUUGAUUUGAGUAAACUAGUGACUGAAACGUAUGAGUUAACAGAAAAAUGCUUGCAAAUAAACUAUUAUGGUGCUAAAAGAACAGCUGAAGCACUUAUCCCACUCCUCCAGUUAUCUGACUCACCGAGAAUUGUUAAUGUUUCGUCUGGCUCGGGGAAGUUAAAGAAGAUACCAAGUGAUUGGGCUAAAGGAGUUUUUACUGAUGCCGAAAACCUAACAGAAGAGAGAGUAGAUAAGGUACUGACUGAGCUUCUAAAAGAUUUCAAGGAGGGUUCACUUGAAAGUAAGGGCUGGCCUUCUUCUAUGCCUGCCUAUAUAGUCUCAAAAGCAGCACUGAACGCAUAUACAAGGAUUCUAGGAAAGAAGUACCCCACUUUUCGUAUCAAUUCAGUCUGCCCUGGCUUUGUCAAAACAGAUAUAAACUUCAAUGCCGGCGUCUUGCCUGUCGAAGAGGGUGGUGCCAGGAUUGUAAAGUUAGCAUUGCUGCCCAAUGAUGGCCCUACUGGCUCCUUCUUUGUUCACGAUGAAGUGUCAGAUUUUUGAUUGAAGAUGAUCCAUUUAUGCAAAUUUAAUACGAGUCAUUUAUUGGGCAACAUUUGGUACUGUAAUGUAAUUUUAAGUAUUUUGGUAUGUAUAUUGAUUGAAGGAUCUAGUGCAUUGUUUACAUUUCUACUAUUCAUCUGGCUCUUGGACUCAUAUUAUCAUUUACAAUGUUAUUCAGUCAGAAAUUCUAUGUGAUCGAUGUCCGGUAUUAUCGAUAGUAUAUCAAUAACAUUUCGGUAUAUUUUGUUAGACUUAAGUUAGAGACAAUAAUAUUGACAGUCCAUCAUUUAAUUAAGGACGAAGUUUUGAGAAGAAUUGAUUAUUCAAUAUUAUCCAACUUAAAUUGUAAUAGCACAAUCGCAAACUUCUGCAGUCAAUUGUGUAAACGAAGGCAUAGGAUUGGAAACUGUCAGGCAGUUGGCCUCAAAAGGAUUCACUGUAGUCUUAACUGCCAGAGAUGAGAAGAGGGGUCUUGAAGUUGUUGGGAAACUCAAAGAGUCUGGCUCCUCAGGUCAAGUGAUUUUUCAUUAGCUUGAUGUGGCUAACCCAGUAACACAGGAGAAGGUUAAUGUUAAAUUGAGUGGCUGAUAUAUAUCAUGCUUAUUGUGUCCACUUCCAGUUGUGUACACGUACCAAGUACCCUAGAAAGAUCAGUGGCUGGAAUUAAGACCCACAUUCAGAGGACUCUCACCCUUAUUUAAGUGUGCUACCGGUGCGGCAGUUUUAUCGAAGAUUUUUUCCUAUCAAAAGGUGAAAGUUGUCACAAGUAAAUUAAUAUCCAUGUUUCUACUAGGAUAUAUUAGUCAAUUAGAAAUUUUCUGCGCAAGUUGAAAAGUCUUGCAUGCGAAACUGCUUGCCACUGCCACCACCAAAAUUCAACAACGUGAGCACUUGCGUCACCACUACCCCAUUAUUUUCCUUUAAAAUCUUCACAACAAAAUUCCAAACAAGUCUUGGUCCCUCUUUCACCACAAUAUCCAAUUACUGCUAGAAAACACUAGAAGCAUCCUCCCUCCAGUAUGUAAUAGGAACAACAGAACCAACAAUUUUCAUCUUCUUCUUAAUAUUUAUCUUAAUAUAAUCCCCAGAAUUCAAAGGCUUUUCAAGAACAUUUCACUAUAAAAGAGAAGAAGGCUGUUGCUGUUUAAUACACAUCUCAAUUUUCCCAGACCGUCCCGUUUCGAAUCUAUCAAUGGCAGAAGUAACAAAGAGGUAGCACUUUAAAGUACUGCUUUCAUAACAAUUUCUCACUAUUUUUGUGUUCUGAAUUUGGUGUUUUUUGUUUUCUCAGGUAUGCAAUUGUUACUGGAGCAAACAAAGGCGUAGGAUUGGAAACUGUCAGGCAGUUGGCCUCAAAUGGAUUUAUUGUAGUCUUGACUGCCAGAGAUGGCAAGAGGGGUCUUGAAGCUGUUGAGAAACUCAAAGAGUCUGGCCUCUCUGGUCAAGUGGUUUUUCAUCAACUUGAUGUAGCUAACCCUGCUAGUGUUGCUUCCUUGGCAGACUUCAUCAAAACCCAGUUUGGGAAACUGGAUAUCUUGGUAUGUAUAUGAUCAUAGCUGCAGGUUUCUUGAAAAAGUUUCUGUCUUUUGAAUCCAACUCUUAAUCCAAAUGCGAUUUUGUUGACGGAAUUGGAGAAUAAAAAUAGCAAACCAUCUACAUUUGUUUCUUGGAAUCCUUUCAUAUAUGAUGUGAUCCCUUUCUGUACAAUUUACAAGUACCCUAUAAAGAUCAGUGGCUGGAGUUAAGGGGUUUGGAAAAGUAGCAUGGUUGGUUUGGUUGUAAAACAAAGAGAUUAUCCAAGUAAUCAGAGGAUCUAUCAACUUUCUUUUCAUUUCAUUUUCUAUAGAAAAAAAUUAUGUUCUUUUCUUUGCUAAAAGAAAACAGAUAGUGAAACAGUUGGACUCUGCACAGGUGAACAAUGCAGGAAUUUUUGGAAGCAUAAUAGAUGUUGAUGCUUCUAAAGCUGCUGUAGCCUCUGGUGCCAUGGUAAGUCUUUUGCAUAAUUUUAUCAAUAGCUAUCAAAAACUAAAAGCUUCAAUCUAUAUGCCAAAGUGAGAAUUUAAAAUGAUUUGUGGUUUGGCAAACUUUAAUCAACAUUUUUCUUGUUUGGAGUGUUGUGCAAGUGGUGGGCAAUAGGCACCAUAAUAAUAAGUUUGCUUUUGCUGAUACAGGCAAGAGGAGAAGUUGAUUUGAGUAAACUAGUGACUGAAACUUAUGAGUUAACAGAAGAAUGCUUGCAAAUAAACUAUUAUGGUGCUAAAAGAACAGCUGAAGCACUUAUCCCACUCCUCCAGUUUUCUGACUCACCGAGAAUUGUUAAUGUUUCUGCUGGCUUGGGGAUGUUAAACAACAUACCAAGCGAUUGGGCUAGAGGAGUUUUUACUGAUGCCGAAAACCUAACAGAAGAGAGAGUAGAUGAGGUACUGACUGAGCUUCUAAAAGAUUUCAAGGAGGGUUCACUUGAAAGUAAGGGCUGGCCUUCUUCUAUGCCUGCCUAUAUAGUCUCAAAAGCAGCACUGAACGCAUAUACAAGGAUUCUAGCAAAGAAGUACCCCAAUUUUCGUAUCAAUUCAGUCUGCCCUGGCUAUGUCAAAACAGAUAUGAACUUCAAUGCCGGCCUCUUGCCUGUCGAAGAAGGUGGUGCCAGGGUUGUGAAGUUAGCAUUGCUGCCCAAUGAUGGCCCUACUGGCUCCUUCUUUGUUCAGAAUGAAGUGUCGGAUCUUUGAUUGAAGAUGAUCCAUUCAUGCAUAUUUAAUACAUGUCACCUAUUGGGCAACUUCUUGUACUGUAAUGUAAUUUUAAGUAUUUUGGACACCAGCAGAUUCUUUUUUGGUUCUUUCUACAUUCAAUACGAGGAUGGCAUGUAUAUGAUGCUUUUUAUCUAGGUAAAAUUUCACCAAAGCACAAUGUUUAAAUAACAAAAGAAACUGCACCCCAAAAAAGAAUAGAAAAGUUCAGGUGUUUCUGGCCUCACAGGAAGCUCUCAGCUGACUUGACCUUCCCCUUUGGUUUUUGGGGAAAGACUUAGCUGUCCUGGGGUGACUACUCCUUGUUCCUUCCUAUAGAAUCUUGUGAUGUAUGCAAGUUUCUUGCGUUUAGAGAGGAGAGACAACACUCCCAAAUAAAGGCCGAAAAAGUCACAUUUGUUAUAAAACUAAAGAAAUUGAAGAGAGAAUUUAGAGAAUUCAAAUAGCGACAGGAAUGCUCUUCCGUUAUUUUCAUUGAGAUUUUCUUCUAUAUCUACAAAUGAGAAUGAAGCUAUAGUUUUAUAGGCAAAGCCUUGGCUAACAAUUCGGUAAAUAGAAGACUCCAAGAAGGUGUAUGGAGAUUCCCUUCCAACAUGUGGGCUUCACUUUAUCAUCUUACAACAACAUUAGGGGGUCUCACCCUUUUUUGAGUGUGCUACCAGUCAUUAUGAGAUCCAUGUUUCAACAUGAUAUUAUUAUUUACCUUACCAGUCAAUCAGAAAAAGUAAGUAGGGUCUACACAAAAUUAGAAAUUGAAUUCUUGAUUUGAGGGGAAUUCAAUUUUUGAGUGGGAUGUGGUAUUUUAAUUUCAGGAGAACUAACUUAUUAGAAAUUCAUCUUUUUUACUCAUUAUAUCUUCAUACAAUUUUAAAAUUUCCAAAUUUGUUAUCUAUUUUAACUCGACAAUGAGGACAUUUUAGUAAUUAGUACAACUCCUACCUCAAUUUCAUAUGGUUUAGUAAACAACUUUAAUAGGAAUUUGGAAUCUAACUCUCCUCAAUCCAUAUAAUUUAGCAAACAACUUCAAUAAGAAUACGGAUUCUAAUUCUCCUUAAUCUAACUCAUCCUCAAUUCAAUUCCUCUUAAUCCGUACUCACCACCCCCAUUCUUUUCCUUCUAGAAAACGUUAGAAGCAUCCUCAAUCCAGUAUUUAUAUAGGAACAAACGAAUCAAAAAAUUUCUUCUUCUCAUUAUUAUUUAUUUGAAUAUAGACCUCAAAAUUCAAAGGCUUUCCAAGAACAUUACACUAUAAAACAAAAGAAGGCUCCUUCCUUAUUUUUAAUUAAUCUCAAUUCUCACAGACCGUCCCGUUUCGAAUAUAUCAAUGGCAGAAGCAACAAAGAGGUAGCACUUUAAAGUCCUUUAUGCUUUGAAGUACUGCUUCCAUAACAAUUUCUCACUAUUUUUUGUGUUAUGAAUUUGGUGUUUGUGUUUUCUCAGGUAUGCAGUUGUUACUGGAGCAAACAAAGGCAUAGGAUUGGAAACUGUGAGGCAAUUGGCCUCAAAUGGAUUCACUGUAGUCUUAACUGCCAGAGAUGAGAAAAGGGGUCUUGAAGCUGUUGAGAAACUCAAAGAAUCUGGCCUCUCACGUCAAGUGGUUUUUCAUCAACUUGAUGUGGCUAACCCUGCUACUGUUGCUUCCUUGGCAGAGUUCAUCAAAACCCAGUUUGGAAAACUCGAUAUCUUGGUAUGUGUAUGAUCAUAGCUGCAGGUUUCUUGAAAAAGUUUCUGUCUUUUGAAAUAAUUAUGUCUUAGGCGUACACAAUAUCCACACAGGUGAAGGUUAUAUUAGAGACUGUAAAAUUGAGUGGCUGAUCCAUAUAUUGCUUGCUUAUUGUGACCACUUCCAGUCGUGGAAGAUUUUACUAUCAAAUCUGACUCUAUGUCUGUCACAUUGUUUUUUCGGUUUUUUUUUGGUGUGGAAUUCUUUCCAUAUAUAUGCUAUAUGAUCCCUCUCUGAACAAUUUACAAGUACCCUAGAAAGAUCAGUGGCUGGAGUUAAGGGGUUUGGGAAAGGCAUAAUUGUUGGCCCUUGUGGUUGGUUUGGUUGUAACAACAAAAGAGAUUUAUCCAAGUAAUCAGAGGAUCUACCUUCUUCCAAUUAAUUUCAAUUUCUAGAAAAAAUUUCAGUUCUUUUCUUUGCUAAAAGAACCCAAAUAGUGAAACAGUUGGACUCUGCACAGGUGAACAAUGCAGGGAUUAGUGGACGCCAAGUAGACGGUGAUGCUCUUAAAGCUGUAGUAGACUCUGGUGCCAUGGUAAGUCUUUUGGAUAAUUUUUAUCAAUAGCUAUCAAAAACUAAAAGCUUCAAUGUAUGUGCUUAAUAUGAAUGUAAGUUCUCAUGAUGUCUUCCUCUGUCUUGAAAUAUUUUCAUUGUGAUGUGCAUGUCAAACUUUGAUCACCAUUUUUCUUGUUUGGGAUGGUUGUAAGUGGUUGGCAAUAGCCACCAUAAUAAGUUUGUUCUUACUGAUGCAGGAAAGAGGAGAAGUUGAUUGGAGUAAAUUAAAGAUAGAAACUUAUGAGUUGGCAGAAGAAUGCUUGCAAAUAAACUACUAUGGUGCUAAAAAAACGGCUGAAGCACUUAUCCCACUCCUCCAGUUAUCUGACUCACCGAGAAUUGUUAAUGUUUCCUCUUCCUUGGGGAAGUUAAAGAACAUACCUAGUGAUUGGGCUAAAGGAGUUUUUACUGAUGCUGAUAACCUAACAGAAGAGGGAGUAGUUGAGGUACUGACUGAGCUUCUAAAAGCCUUCAAGGAGGGUUCACUUGAAAGUAAGGGCUGGCCUUCUUCUUUGUCUGCCUAUAUAGUCUCAAAAGCUGCACUAAACGCUUAUACAAGGAUUCUAGCAAAGAAGUACCCCGAUAUUCGUAUCAAUUCGGUAUGCCCCGGCUUUGUCAAAACAGAUCUAAACUCCAAUGCCGGCGUCUUGCCUGUCGAAGAAGGUGGUGCCAGGGUUGUGAGUAUAGCAUUGCUGCCCAAUGAUGGCCCUUCUGGUUCCUUCUUUGUUCAGUAUGAAGUGUCAGAUCUUUGAUUGAAGAUGAUCCAUUUAUGCAAAUUUAAUACAUGUCACUUGUUGGGCAGCAUCUUGAACUUUGAUGUAAUUUAAGUAUAUUUGGAACCAGCAGCGGAUCCUUUUUAUGUUCUUUCUACAUUCAAUAAGAGGAUGGCAUAUAUGAUGCUUAUUGUUGUAGCCAUAUUUAAUUGUGCAACAUUCUCUAUCUAAUAGUCCUCUAUGAUUGCAUCUUUAUGAAAUUAUCUCCCACAUCUGGAAUUGAUUGAAGCAUCUGGUGCAUUGUUUGUUUACAUUUCUACUAUUCAUCUGCCUCUUGAACUCAUGUUAUCAUUUGCAUUGUUAUUCAGUCAGAAAUUCUAUGUGAUUCAUGUUCAUCCUUUGAUCGAUAUUAUUGAUGGUAUAUUGAUAACAUUUAGGUAUAUUUUGUGACAUAUGUCAGAGAAUAAUAUUGACACCUUCUGCAGUCAAUUGUUUAAAAAAACAAAAAGACAACAUAGGUCUCGUUAACAAUUAUGUAAUUUUGGAGCGGUUAAAUUCACCAAUCUUGCCGACGAAACUGCUUCAGCCUUGGCAUGUGGUUGAUGGUUGAGUUAAGCUCUCUCUGCUCUGCCACCACCACCAAAAUGCUUAAACAAUGGGAGCACUUGCGUCACCACCCCCAUUCUUUUCCUUAAUUCUUAAAAGAAAAAUCCAAACAAAUGUUGUUUUCCCAUCAGAUUACUUCUAGGAAACAUUCGACGCAAGCAUCCUCCCUCCAGUAUAGGAACAAACGAGUCUUAACAAUUUUCUUGCUCUUAUUAUUAUUUAUUUGAAUAUCAAACUUGAAAUGUGCAAAGGUUUUCCCACAGACAGACGAUCCCAUAAACGAAUCAGCAAUGGCAGAAGCAAGAAAGAGGUGGCACCUUAGAGUCCAUACCCUUUGAUUACUUCUAUAACAAUUUCUCACUCUUGUUUUUGUUUCCUUUUUGCUUUCCUAUUUUUGUUAUGAAAUUGGUGUUUCUUCUUUUGUUUUUCCAGGUAUGCAGUUGUUACUGGGGCAAACAAAGGCAUAGGAUUGGAAACUGUCAGGCAGUUGGCCUCAAAAGGAUUCACUGUAGUCUUAACUGCCAGAGAUGAGAAGAGGGGUCUUGAAGCUGUUGAGAAAUUCAAAGAAUCUGGCCUCUCAGGUCAAGUGGUUUUUCAUCAACUUGAUGUGGCUAACCCUGCUAGUCUUGCUCCUUUGGCAGACUUCAUCAAAACCCAGUUUGGGAAACUCGAUAUCUUGGUAUGUAUGAUCAUAGCUACAGGGUUAAUGUAAAAUUGAGUGAUCUAUAUCAUGCUUAUUGUGUCCACUUCCAGUUGUGGAAGAUUUUACUUUGAAGUCUAAAUCUAACUCUAACUAUAUGAAAGAUCAGUGACUGGAAUUAAGUGGUGUGACAAAGUAGCAUACUUAUUGGCCUUCUUUGAAGAGCACUGGUUGGUUAUAGCAGAUAGUUUAUCCAAGUAAUCAAAGCAUCUACCAACUUUCUUUUAAUUCCAUCUUGUAGAUGUUUUUUUCUUUGCUUUUGUUUGCAAAAGUAAAACAAGUAGUGAAACAGUUGGACUCUGCACAGGUGAACAAUGCAGGGAUUGGUGGAAGCACAGCGGAUCCUGAUGCCUUUAGAGCUGUAGUAGAGUCUGGUGCCUUUGUAAGUCUUUCAGAUAAUUCUUAUCAAUAGCUACCAAAAACUUAAAGCUUUAAUGUAUGUGUUUAAUGUGAAAAUUUAAAUUGAUCUGUGGUUUGGCUUAAUGCUAUGGCAAUUAGUAGGGGAAAUGAUCUGUGUAACAUCACCAGGCUGGUAUGAUUCGGGUGGGUGUGUAAGUAGUUGGCAAUAGCCACCGUAAUAAGUUUGUUCUUACUGAUGCAGGGAAGAGGAGAAGUUGAUUGGAGUAAACUAAGUACUGAAACUUAUGAGUUGGCAGAAGAAUGCUUGCAGAUAAACUAUUAUGGUGCUAAAAGAACAGCUGAAGCACUUAUCCCACUCCUCCAGUUAUCCGAUUCACCGAGAAUUGUUAAUGUUUCGUCUUUCAUGGGGAAGUUAAACAACAUACCGAGCGGUUGGGCUAAAGUAGUUUUUACUGAUGCAGAAAACCUAACAGAAGAGAGACUAGAUGAGGUACUGACUGAGCUUUUAAAAGCCUUCAAGGAGGGUUCACUUGAAAGUAAGGGCUUUCCUUCUUCUUUGUCAGCCUAUAUAGUCUCAAAAGCUGCACUGAACGCAUAUACUAGGAUUCUAGCAAAGAAGUACCCCACUUUUCGUAUCAAUUCGUUAUGCCCUGGCUUUGUCAAAACAGAUAUAAACUACAAUGUCGGUGUCCUACCUGUCGAAGAAGGGGCUGCAAGGGUUAUGAAGUUAGCAUUGCUGCCCAAUGAUGGCCCUUCUGGCUCCUUCUUUGUUGAGUACGAAGUGUCAGAUUUUUAAUUGAAGAUGAUCCGUUUAUGCAAAUUAAAUACAUGUCAUUUAUUUGGCAGGAUCUUGAAUUUUUAAUGUAACAAAGUGUAUUUGGACCCAGCACCAGAUCCCUUUUAAGUUCUUUCUACAUUCAAUAUGACUCGAGGACAACAUACAAUAGUCUUGUAUGAUUGCAUCUUUGUGAAAUUAUCUUCCACAUAUGGAAUUGAUUGAAGGAUCUAAUACAUUGCUUGUUUACAUUUCUACUUAUCAACUGGCUGUUGAACUCAUAUUAUCAUUUACAUUAUUAUUCAACCAGAAAUUCUAUAUGAUUGAUAUCCAUUUUUUGAUCGAUACUAUCAAUAACAUUUUGGUAUAUUUUGUUAUGGAUAUGCUGACAACAAUUAUAUUAACACUUAAUCCACAAUUCUUUCAUUAAUUAAGAAAUGACGUAGGUAUAAAGAAGAAUUGAUUAUCCAACAAUCCCUCAUUCCCUCGUUCCAUCAAUAUUAUUGUAUUCAAUUGUUUAAUAAAGAAAAAGACAAUUGUCAUGUUCAAUGCAAAACUGCUUAAGACUUCGCAUGUUACGACUUUUUUGCCUAUACACUCCAAUGGUAGUUGAGACAUUGGGGAAGCCCUUGUGAACAUGUUGUUGAAAGGUCUCUCUGGUCUGUCAACGUGUGCACUUGCGUCACUACCUUCUCCUUUUCCUUAACGAAAAUUCUACAGAGAAAAAUCCAAGCAAAUGCUGUUCUAUCUAUCUUUCCCAUUCAAAUGAUGUCAUAUCUCACUAUAUCUCACCAAACCCAGUUAUUAACUUAUUAUUACUUUCAUGACCCAAAAAAGAAAAAGUUACUUUUACGUUUUCCGUUUUUUGCUAUACCACUUUUUUGUCAGUAAGGACACAAUUGUACUUUUAUAAAUCCAAACUAACAAACGCCAUAAUGGGCUUACUCAUUGACUAAAAACUAACAAAAAUAUAAAAUCACUUGAGCAAGACCCAAAAGUAUAUAGGGUAUUUAGAAGAUCUUAAUUAGUGCAUUUCCACAUGUAAGCUUAUAAAUAGGACCGAAAUAUAGAAGAAUUCUACAAUAAAUUUUAGGAAAAAUUCAAUUUGUCUUUCAAAAUUAAAAUAAGGAGUUAAAUUCUUAUUACGGAUACUUCUAUGUUUUUUCCACAUUGAGAAACUAAAAAUACAAAUGACACCCACAAAAAAAGUAAAAAUUCAAUUCUUGAGUAGGGCAGCCGCAUGUGAAAUCACACUCGCAAAGAGUUAAGACCCACAUUCAGAGGGUCUCACCCUUAUUUGAGUGCCACCGGUGCCGCGGUCCUGUUUAAGAUUUUUUUCCUAUCAAAAGGUGAAGGUUGCCACAAGUAAAUUAAUGUAUGUAUUUUAUAUCUAGUGGGGAUGAAAAAGUAAGGUGAUCCAUGUUUCUAUAGGAUAUUAUUAUUUACAUUAUUAGUCAAUUAGAGUAGUCACAUCCACACCAGUCUUUGCAUGCGAAACUGCUUACUGCCCUGCAACUGCCUUCACCAAAAUUCUCCCACAAACCCAUUAUUUUCCUUUAAAAUCUUAAAAACAAAAUUUGGUCCCUCUGUCGCCACAAUUUCUAAUUAAUGUUAGAAAACACUAGAAGCAUAUAGGAACAAAAGAAUCAAAAUUUUCUUCUUCGUAUUAUUUAUUUGAAUAUGACCUCAAAAGUCAAAGGCUUUCCAAGAACAUUCACUAUAAAAGAAAAGAAGGCUCCUUCUGUUUAACACACAUCUCAAUUCUCACAGACCGUCCCGUUUCGAAUCUAUCAAUGGCAGAAGCAACAAAGAGGUAGCACUUUAGACUUCAUUAUGCUUUGUUUCCUUGUCCGAUUUCCAAUCCCUUUAAUUGUUUUUGUUUCUAUGAAUUUGGUGUUUGUGUUUUCUUAGGUAUGCGGUUGUUACUGGAGCAAACAAAGGUAUAGGAUUGGAAACUGUAAGGCAGUUGGCCUCAAAUGGGUUCACCGUAGUCUUAACUGCCCGAGAUGAGAAGAGGGGUCUUGAAGCUGUUGAGAAACUCAAAGAGUCUGGCCUCUCAGGUCAAGUGGUUUUUCAUCAACUUGAUGUGGUUGACCCUGCUACUGUUGCUUCUUUGGCAGACUUCAUCAAAACCCAGUUUGGGAAACUCGAUAUCUUGGUAUGUAUAUGAUCAUAGCUACAGGUUUCUUGAAAAAGUUUCUGUCUUUUGAAUCUAACUCUUAAUCCGAAUGCGAUUUAGUUGGAAGCACGGAUACGCUGGUUGAGGUGCGUAUCCCGUAUCCGAUACGCUAGGGGAUACGAUACGCUGUGAAUACGUGCGGAUACCCGAUGGAUACGUAUCCGAGUAAACGGAUACGGUCAAAGACAAAAAGAUACUCGUAUCUGACAUUACAGAUACGAGUAUCUGAUGUUUAGGAUACGCGUAUCAGGAAACGUCUCCACUUCUUCUUUCAGAUCUUCCUUCUUCUUCUUCAUCCAGCAGUGCCCCCACUCAUCAAUUCUUCUUCUUCGUCCUUAAGAAGCCCAGAUCUUCCUUUUUCUUCUUCAUCCAGCGGCGCCCCUACUCAUCAAUUUCUUCUUCUUCAUUCUUCAUUGUCGGCGGCGUCGGGUUCUCUUCUCCAUUUUCAUUUUGUUUUCUCACGCGUGCUUCUCUGUUCUUUUGACAAAAGGAUUUUGUUUUGUUUUUGUCUUUUUUUUUGGUCAAAGGAUUUUGUUUGUUUAAUAUUCACAGUUUCACCCACACCCCACGUGAUGGCUGGUCUUAUCGUUUUGACAAAAGGAUUUUGUUUUGUUUGUCUUAUUAAAAGUAAUAAUAUUAUAACCAAGACAAGUGGAAGUAUGUUAAAAGUAAUAAUAUCAAAAGUAGUUAUUUAAAAUAUGUUAUAAAUUAUAUAUAUUGUUAUUUUUAAAUUAUUAUAUAUUAUUUAAAUUACCGUAUUCACGACGUAUCGUAUCCUAAUUUUUAAAAAUUUAUCGUGUCUCCGUGUGGUGUCGUAUCGUAUUCUCGUAUCCGUAUCCGUGUCCGUGCUAUGAAAUAUGGAAUUGGAAAAUGAAAAUAGCAAACCAAGUAAUAACUAGCUUAGUAAUAUCUUCAACAAGUUAAUCUUUGAAAUAAUUAGAAGUCUUAGGCUUUUUGAAGAACAAAACAAGUUUCACAUAACUACCAGUCUACCACUCUGUUUUUGUUUCUUGGAAUCUUUUGAUAUAUGAUAUGAUCCCUUUCUGUACAAUUUAUAUGUACUCUAGAAAGAUCAGUGGCUGGAGUUACGGGGUUUGGCAAAGUGGCAUAAUUAUUGGGCUUCUUUAAAGGGCAUUGGACUUUAUGGUUAGUUUGGUUUUAACAACAAAGAGAUUGUAAGAGUAAUCAGAGGAUCUAUCAACUUUCUUUUCCUUUCAUUUUCUAUAAAGAUUUUCUGUUCUUUUCUUUGCUAAAAGAAAACAGAUAGUGAAACAGUUGGACUCUGCACAGGUGAACAAUGCAGGGGUUAUUGGAAGCAUAGUAGAUGGUGAUGCUUUUAAAGCUUCUGUAGCCUCCGGUGCCACGGUAAGUCUUUUGCAUAAUUUUUUUAUCAAUAGCUAUCAAAAACUAAAAGCUUCAAUGUAUGUGCCAAAGUGAGAAUUUAAACUGAUCUGUGGUUUGGCAUACUUUAAUCAACGUUUUUCUUGUUUGGGGUGGGUGUGUAAGUGGUGGGCAAUAGGCACCAUAAUAAUAAGUUUGUUUUUGCUGAUACAGGAAAGAGGAGGAGUUGAUUUUAGUAAACUAGUGACUGAAACUUACGAGUUAACAGAAGAAUGCUUGCAAAUAAACUAUUAUGGUGCUAAAAGAACAGCUGAAGCACUUAUCCCACUCCUCCUGUUAUCUGACUCACCGAGAAUUGUUAAUGUUUCUUCUGUCAUGGGGAUGUUAAACAACAUACCAAGCGAUUGGGCUAGAGGAGUUUUUACUGAUGCCGAAAACCUAACAGAAGAGAGAGUAGAUGAGGUACUGACUGAGCUUCUAAAAGAUUUCAAGGAGGGUUCACUUGAAAGUAAGGGCUGGCCUUCUUCUAUGCCUGCCUAUAUAGUCUCAAAAGCAGCACUGAACGCAUAUACAAGGAUUCUAGGAAAGAAGUACCCCACUUUUCGUAUCAAUUCAGUCUGCCCUGGCUUUGUCAAAACAGAUAUAAACUUCAAUGCCGGCGUCUUGCCUGUCGAAGAGGGUGGUGCCAGGAUUGUAAAGUUAGCAUUGCUGCCCAAUGAUGGCCCUACUGGCUCCUUCUUUGUUCACAAUGAAGUGUCAGAUUUUUGAUUGAAGAUGAUCCAUUUAUGCAAAUUUAAUACGAGUCAUUUAUUGGGCAACAUUUGGUACUGUAAUGUAAUUUUAAGUAUUUUGGUAUGUAUA
rnacentral:lncRNA from 1 species